AAGGAUGAGUCUGCGGCCGAUUAGGUUGUUGGUGGGGUAAUGGCCCAACAAGCCUAUGAUCGGUACGGGCUGUGAGAGCAGUAGCCCGGAGAUGAUAUCUGAGACACGAUACCAGGCCCUACGGGGCGCAGCAGGCGCGAAAACUUCGCACUGUGCGAAAGCACGACGAGGGAAUCCCAAGUGCUGGCUCGUAGUAUCAGCUGUUUCUCUGUCUAAAAAACAGAGAGAGUAAGGGCUGGGUAAGACGGGUGCCAGCCGCCGCGGUAAUACCUGCAGCUCAAGUGGUGGCCACUAUUAUUGGGCCUAAAACGUCCGUAGCCGGUUCUAUAAAUCCCUGGGUAAAUCGUACGGCUUAACCGUACGAAUUCCGGGGAGACUGCUCAACUUGGGACCGGGAGAGGCUAGAGGUACUCCUGGGGUAGAGGUGAAAUUCUGUAAUCCUAGGGGGACCACCAGUGGCGAAGGCGUCUAGCUAGAACGGGUCUGACGGUGAGGGACGAAGCCCUGGGGCGCAAACGGGAUUAGAUACCCCGGUAGUCCAGGGUGUAAACGCUGCUCGCUUGAUGUUGGUCGGGCUCCGAGCCCAACUAGUGUCGGAGAGAAGUUGUUAAGCGCGCUGCCUGGGGAGUACGGUCGCAAGGCUGAAACUUAA
rnacentral:rRNA from 1 species